UACAGAGGGGGCAAGCGUUGUUCGGAAUUACUGGGCGUAAAGGGCGCGUAGGCGGCCUUCUAAGUCGAACGUGAAAUCCCCGGGCUCAACCCGGGAACUGCGUCCGAUACUGGAAGGCUUGAAUCCGGGAGAGGGAUGCGGAAUUCCGAGGUGUAGCGGUGAAAUGCGUAGAUAUCUGGAGGAACACCGGUGGCGAAGGCGGCAUCCUGGACCGACACUGACGCGUAUGAGCGAAAGCCAGGGGAGCAAACGGG
rnacentral:rRNA from 1 species